rnacentral:pre_miRNA from 1 species
GUCACCUGGGGAUCUUGUUAAAAUGCAGAUCCUGAUUCAGUAGGGGCCUGAGACUCUGUAUUUCUAACGAGCUCCCAGGUGUUGUUCA